ensembl:lncRNA
AUUUGUAUUAACUAGACUGAUGUUGAGAGGUGACUUAGCCAUCUUUAUACAUUUUAAAGACAAAAUUCCUAUUUAACUGUUUUAUUCAUGUGCUGUCUUGGCUCAUAGAAAACAGUUUCAGUAAGUGUGCUAAGGAAAUAGUGAUAAGCUCAGCCUCUGUAGGCAGUGCAGGUCUAUUAUGUAUACCAUUAAGAAAGAGUUUGAGGAAUGGCAAUACGGCUCAGUAGUAAAGAAUCUGCCUGCCAAUGCAGGAGACACAAGAGACAUGGGUUCCAUCCCUGGGUCAGGAAGAUUCUCUGGCAUAGGAAAUGGCAACCCAAUCCAGUAUUCUUGCCUGGAAAAUUCCAUGGACAGAGGAACCUGGUGGGCUACAGUCCAGCGCGGUGCUAAGUCACUUAAGUCGUGUCCGACUCUAUGUUAUCCUAUGGACUGUAGCCCACCAGGCUCCUCUUUCCAUGGGGUUUUCCAGGCAAGAAUACUGGAGUGGGUUACCAUUUCCUUCUCCAGGGGAUCUUCCCGACCCAGGAAUCAAAUCCACAUCUCUUACAUCUCCUGCAUUGGCAGGCGGGUUUUUUUUUUUUUUAAACAACUGGUGCCACCUGGGCUGCAGUCCAUGGGUUGCAAAGAGUCAGACAUAACUGAGCAUGCACACAUAUGGAUACCUCAACAAAAAAUCAGUUGAAGCAGCAAUUAAAUGCCCCAUGUUAUGAGACUGGGCAGUGAGUCUGGCAUUAGUUACCUGAAGAGAGAAAGUAUUAAAAUGUCUUUUUUUAUUUUUUAAACCAGAGAAAACCAAAAUAAAAUGACACUUCUAAAUACAUAUAGACACAAAAACUAACAGAGGUGGAACAAUAAAGUCAGGAUGCUGAGACAGCAACUCGUUCCUCUGGCAGAUGUUUGUUGGGUCCAGGACAGUGUUAGGUGCCGUGUGUACAUCUUGGAUGUCCUGCCUUCUGAGACCUAACAGGAUACAGGACACCAGGGUAGACACGAACAAAGAAGCAGGGUGUGAUGACUUGCAGCACCGCAGAGACCACUGUGGGUGCAGGAAGAACAGGCAGGACCUUGUGCAGUUUCAGAAUGAAUUACGGUGACAAACUGUGUUUUCUGCAUCACUGAUUCUCUUGACUAUUAGAUAUUCAUAUUUACUGUGGAGUUCUUAGGUGGAUUGUCUCACCAUGUAUUUAUGAGCUUUUAAUCCAGCAGGACCUGGUCAGCGUGUGAAUAACUGAGGAUGGCCCCUUGCUAUGCCGGCACAUCAGGAGCCACUGCAGGUGGAGAAGAAGAGUGGAAUUCUGAGAGGCCAUCCAUUCCUUCCUGUGGGCCAUGAGAUGCUGCCAGAAAGAGUGUGUGCUCCUGCUCCAGGCUCGCCUGAGCACCUCCUGAUUUGUGCUGCCUCUUCAGAUCAGGGCCGACGCUCCCAGGCUCCAUGUGUGUGCUUAUCCAGCGCCCUCAGUUGAGCUUUUGGCUUAAUGGGGUUCCUUUGGCUACAGCAAGAGCUAAGCCACUUGACUUGGGCUUGGUGCCCGCACAUUCUUGCUCUAUGCAGACUCUGAAUAGGUCACUCAACUUUUAUUACACUUGGAGGAAAAUAACUACAAAUCUGAAAAAAAAAAAAAAAAAAACCUUGAAAAACUGAAAGCUGAUGUGUUGAUGGGCGGGUACACUUUUAUUGCUCGUCUCCCUCCUGG